UACGGGGGGGGCAAGCGUUGUUCGGAAUUACUGGGCGUAAAGGGUUCGUAGGUGGCUUGCUAAGUCAGACGUGAAAUCCCUCAGCUUAACUGGGGAACUGCGUCUGAGACUGGUGAGCUUGAGUGCAGGAGAGGAACGCGGAAUUCCAGGUGUAGCGGUGAAAUGCGUAGAUAUGCGGAGGAACACCGAUGGCGAAGGCAAUCCCCUGGACCUGUACUGACGCUCAUGCACGAAAGCGUGGGGAGCAAACAGG
rnacentral:rRNA from 1 species